rnacentral:misc_RNA from 1 species
CUUGUACACACCGCCCGUCACACCAUGGGAGUUUGUAACGCCCAAAGUCGGUGGCCUAACCUUUAUGGAGGGAGCCGCCUAAGGCGGGACUGAUGACUGGGGUGAAGUCGUAACAAGGUAGCCGUAGGAGAACCUGCGGCUGGAUCACCUCCUUUCUAAGGAAUAAAACGGAACCUACACAUCGAAGAAACUUUGUUUAGUUUUGAG